rnacentral:misc_RNA from 1 species
GGUUGGCUCCCUGCUUGAGCAGGCACGGCCACACGUACAUUCCUUUUCAGUUGUGCGGCAAGGCUUGUGUUGUCUUGAUCGUAUAUGUGGGUUUCCUGUGUUGCAUACCUGAUCAAUGGCAUCGUUUUGAUCAAAAACAUACCUUUUUCGUCAGGCGUUGCACCCGCAACGUCAGAUGAACCACGUAGCAUCCUCUUUGAUCCAUAUAGUCGAUGAGCAUUCGUUGAUUGUUUGGCCCGUUGAGGGUGGCUUGGUCUCUCGGAUAUGGAAGCCGAAGUGGGCAUGGGUUCGUAUGAUCCUUUUAUUGCCCUUGUUGAGCGUUCUCGCUUCUCUUGAACGACCGCCUCUCACGUAUGGCACGUCCCAGCGUGUUUGGCUAUGUCGUAGAGGAAUGCUACCUGGUUGAUCCUGCCAGAGCA